rnacentral:lncRNA from 1 species
AUGGGUAACGGGAAAAGCAAACCUGCCACCAUGGAGGGUGACUCCAAGUACAUGGAGAAAUUUUCACCUGGCAGUACUAGAUUUUUGAAACUGUGGGAAAAGAAGUACGGGUUUGAGGGGAAACUGAUUUGCGGUCCGUGUGAGAAACUAGUUGAGAGAUUAAAGGUUGAAACUCUUAACACUCGCAGAGCCCAAAACAAAGAAAAACACCUGCAAUUGUUGGAGGCUGUGAACUGGCGAGAGCAAGCGUUUAAGCGGAGACAGGAUAUUCAGAAAAAAUUAGAGAUGAAGCGUGAACGGCUUGCCCUAGAGGCAGCUGUUGUGGUGAAGCCAGACGAGGAAACCGUCUGUGCUAGUGAAGGUGCGAGAAUUAGCGAAGAGAGAAGACAGAGAUCAGAUCGGAAAUCUGAAAUUGAAGAAAAAGUGCUCGAAUGCCAGAGAGCAGUAGAAAAACUGGACAUUAAUGAACGUGCAGCUGCUAGAGCUGACCCCAUAGCCAAACAUACCAGAACAGCUCACAAAGGUGAACUUCACUCCUUACUGUUAGGAGAACCAACACAUUAUCCUGAUCUGAAACCCCUCAAACAACAAUAUAACAUAGUUGACAGGAAUUAUGAUUGUCCUGCUCCCAAUCCACCCAUCCCAGGGGGAGCAAACGGAGAAUUCUACCCCCUCGUAGAGGUUGCAAAUCCGCAUUUUGGGGCAACGACAGCCUCAGGUGCUUAUGAUGACAGAGAGACAAUCUAUGUCUUCCGGCCCUGGGAUGAAGCAGACUGCACCGAAGCGUGCAAAAGCUUAGGUGAUCCAAAAUUAGAUGUAGAUGCCUGGGUUGAUAAACAUCGCCAGUUGAUUGAUUCGUUUGGACUCAAUGGCUGGGAAGUUGAUCAAACUUUCAGAAAGUCUCUGACCUUCAAUUGGGGCAGAGUGAAGGGUGACUUUACUGGAAAAGAUGUACGUGACACAAAUCUUCCAGCUAAAAGCAGUGCAUUGAAACACCAAGUAGAGAUGGUGCAUGAAAACAUGAAAAAGCUGUGGAAAAAAAAAACCCCGACUAUGUUAAAAUUGCGCAAUGCAGACAAAAAGAAGGUGAAGACGUGUUUGAGUACAGAGCUAGAGGAAGUGUUUCGAAACCACAGCGGGUUAACCGAGGACACCGCUGAUGACUCACCCUAUCAGCAGCAGCUAAAACAAGCGCUGAUGGGGGGUUUUCACCACACCAUAGCUGAUUUCAGCUAUUUCAGAUACAGUUAUUGUCCCCACUUCCAAAGGUAUGGUUGCUAUAGGCAAAGGUGA